GAUGAACGCUGGCGGCGUGCCUAAUACAUGCAAGUCGAGCGAACAGAUGAGAAGCUUGCUUCUCUGAUGUUAGCGGCGGACGGGCGAGUAACACGUGGGUAACCUACCUAUAAGACUGGGAUAACUCCGGGAAACCGGGGCUAAUACCGGAUAAUAUUUUGAACCGCAUGGUUCAAAAGUGAAAGACGGUUUCGGCUGUCACUUAUAGAUGGACCCGGGCCGUAUUAGCUAGUUGGUAAGGUAACGGCUUAACAAGGAGACGAUACGUAGCCCAACAGAGAGGGUCAUCGGCCACACUGGAACUGAGACACGGUCCAGACUCCUACGGGAGGCAGCAGUAGGGAAUCUUCCGCAAUGGGCGAAAGCCUGACGGAGCAACGCCGCGUGAGUGAUGAAGGUCUUCGGAUCGUAAAACUCUGUUGUUAGGGAAGAACAAAUUUGUUAGUAACUGAACAAGUCUUGACGGUACCUAACCAGAAAGCCACGGCUAACUACGUGCCAGCCGCCGCAGUAA
rnacentral:rRNA from 1 species